GACGAACGCUGGCGGCGUGCCUAAUACAUGCAAGUAGAACGCUGAAGAGAGGAGCUUGCUCUUCUUGGAUGAGUUGCGAACGGGUGAGUAACGCGUAGGUAACCUGCCUUGUAGCGGGGGAUAACUAUUGGAAACGAUAGCUAAUACCGCAUAACAAUAGGUGACACAUGUCAUUUAUUUGAAAGGGGCAAUUGCUCCACUACAAGAUGGACCUGCGUUGUAUUAGCUAGUAGGUGAGGUAACGGCUCACCUAGGCGACGAUACAUAGCCGACCUGAGAGGGUGAUCGGCCACACUGGGACUGAGACACGGCCCAGACUCCUACGGGAGGCAGCAGUAGGGAAUCUUCGGCAAUGGGGGCAACCCUGACCGAGCAACGCCGCGUGAGUGAAGAAGGUUUUCGGAUCGUAAAGCUCUGUUGUAAGUCAAGAACGAGUGUGAGAGUGGAAAGUUCACACUGUGACGGUAGCUUACCGGAAAGGGACGGCUAACUACGUGC
rnacentral:rRNA from 1 species